rnacentral:lncRNA from 1 species
GGGAUUCACAUAUUUCCAUUAGUAGUUCUGUGGAAAGGAAGUUUAGCAAAGUCAGAUUGAUGACUGAUAUAAUUUAAUUAGACUCCAGCUUCAUAAAUAUGCAAUGUUAUUUGAAUGAGAAGUUGAAUCAUUAGGCUCCCUGAGACAAAUGGCAAUUUGGUUUGCUUCAGAGUUGGUGGCAGACAUUUCUACCAUGGUAUAAGUGGGUAAAAUAAUUCAGUGAUUUAAGAAGUAGAAGAAAGGCUAAAUUUGAUCGACCAGUUAUAGAAACCGUUUGUAGAUGUUUCUUGCCCUCCUUUGCAACUCUCUCUUUUCUAGUUUUGCAGUGGCAGGUAUUUCUUCAUUGAAUCAUGCUUUUUGUCAUGGCUUUGAGAGUUGUUAUUGGAUAUUCAACACCUCUCUCCCACCCCAAUAAUUUCACACUGCCCUGAAUCCUUUGCAUGGUGCACCGUGGCUUGACUAGCUCACCCAGAGCAAACUAUUAAGACUUUAUAAGGAUAUUAACAUUAUAAUUGACUAAAGGGACUUACUUUUUUUUUUUUUGAUAAGUUGGCUUAGUGAGGUAGGGAAAGAGAGGAUGAGAGUACCUUUUCUUUUUCUUUCCUUUUCUUUUCUUAUUAACCUGUUAUUAAACUCAGGCCAGGGAAAAUACUGGAAACUGUGUGAAUGGACAGGCUGCUUUCGAGGAUGAUUUGGCCUCAUGUAGCAUAUUGGAGCCCUCCCCAUAGCCAUGGUGUCUUCUCUUCACGUUAAUACACA